GUAAUAUGGAAGUGAAGCUUUCUGCUCAAACACCAUUUGAUCCAGAUUUCAUUUAAGGGCUAGGACAUGUUAACACAACACAGGGCUGAGUACUGUUAUCUCUCACUGGACAUUAUUAAAUUAUAUUAAUAUCUGAUAGCUUCUAACUAUCUAGAUGCUAUCUAGCUAAAUGUAUAGCAGUCAGCUAAUAAUGACUCUUUAUUGGUCACCUAUACAUUAUAGCACAGUGAAAUUCUUUUCUUUGCAUACCCCAGCAUACUAGGAAUUUGGGGUCAGAGUGCAGGGUCAGCCAUGAUACAGCACCCCCUGGAGCAGAGAGGGUUAAGGGCCUUGCUGAACAGUGGCAGCUUGGCUGCACCAGGGUUUGAACCCCUGACCUUCUGAUCAGUAACCCAGAGCCUUAACCAUCAAGCGACCACUACCCCUUUAAUCCCAGUUAAAGAGCCAUUAUUCUUUCUGUUUUCUAUCUUUUUUUUUUUUUUUACUAGAAAGAAGAACAUGAUCUGUACAAGCUAAAUGGUUAAAACUGCACUAGAACAUAAAUUGAUACUGUAUCUUGAAGGAUGUUGAAUAAUCUAGAACUUUACUGGAAGGACAUUGAAUAUUCUAGAACAUAAAUGGAAGCAUGUUGAACUAGAACUAGAGCUUUACCAUAGGCAUGUUGAAUAUUCUAGAAUGUAAUGGUUGUGUGUUGAAUAUUCUAGAAUGCAAAUGGAAGCCUGUUGAAUAUUCUAGAAUGUAAAUGGUUGUGUGUUGAAUAUUCUAGAAUGUAAAUGGAAGCUGUUGAAUAUUCUAGAAUGCAAAUGGAAGCGUGUUGAAUAUUCUAGAAUGCAAAUGGUUGUUUGUUGAAUAUUCUGGAUUGUAAAUGGAAACGUGUUGAAUAUUCUAGAAUGUAAAUAGUUGUGUGUUGAAUAUCCUUGAAUGUAAAUGGUUGUGUGCUAAAUAUUCUAGAAUGUAAAUAGAAUGUGUUUAAUAUUUUUAUUGUAUUCUAGCUGUUAGCUUUGUAUAGUCCGGUGUUUAUUACAGCAGUUACCACCCUACAACUUCUCCCUAACUGCAGGACAAUGAAAAUCAGAUGACAGUGAUCCAGUGCUCAGCUAAUCAGCUAGUCCUAAAUGUAAUAUAAUCUUUAACAGAUUUUUAAAGAAUCUCAUUUAUUUCUACAAGGCCCCAUUUGAUCUGCUGCCAUCUUGAUCCUCAUUUCACCUUAUUUUCUUUUAUCCUUUACUUUAAAGCCUGCGCACUUUUACUGUAACUCAGACCUCUGACUCUGGGGCUUGUUCUGUUUUAAUGAAUGUAUGAAUAUAUGAAUAAAUAAAUCGUUCCAUUUCAGCGCCUUCCAAUAGCCGCUAAGAAGUGUGAUGGCUUUGUGAUUUAUGGGACAUUUGUCUUCUGGUGUGAACCCUUGAAAAGGGGCGUGAUCGAGUGCAGAUUCCCAUUACUGAGCAGUUUCUUCAGGGAGCGAUGAAUAAAUGCAGCGUUUAACCUUUAUUUAAACUUAGUUCCUCCCUCUAGGCUUAACUGCACUCAUCACUACUGAGCCAGCAGACCUUCAUCUAACCUUUAUCUACAAGAUCAAGAGAGCAUUUUAUAAUUAACUUGUUUCGCAGGUUUAACAUAAAAUAAAAAGUCAUUAAAAAAAUUUGCAUUUUUUUUUGUAUAAGAGGAAUAAAACACUUCCGCGCAUGCCGUUACAAGAAAAUAAUCACCUUCAGGGGUGUAUCAGUAACUCUGCUUCAUCGCACCACCACGUCAUUCUUUUUUUUUUUCCUAUAACAGCGUGACAGUGUUUUGUUAUUAUUUACAUAAUCGUUAUCGCUGUACAAUCUUCGCACCACUGAAUAUGCAAAUUCCGAAUAUGCAAAUGAGCACAGAAAGCAAUGUCACAGUGGAGCUCUCUGAAAUUUCUGUGUUGCCAACUGGUAAUUAUGAGUUUGAUGGAGAUGGGAACGGUUUGUUUAAGUUUAAAAUAAUGACUGUAAAUUAUGCAGUUUCAUUAAAUAUUGCACCAACUAUUAUAACAAUGCUAACCAUUCACAAAUCAACCCGACUGAAUGGGCUAACCUUCCAGGACAAGCCAUUACCAAAAACAUCCGGUGUGCUUUUAAUAUAACCGUAAUCACAGUACUUUUAAUAAUGUAUAUAAAAUAUAAUGUUUUGUGCAUAUCAUGUACCAUACUCAGAGUACAGCCACGAGCUGUGUGACAAACUUAUAAGGAAAGAUCCCAGUACAGGAUCUGCGCUUCUGGCUUUUACAUCCUCAUAAACACAAUGGUACAGGAUCUGAAUGGCUGAAUCUACAUAGAUAUAGAUAUCUAGCUAUUACCUUCAGACAUUUAAUGAAUGUGGACAGUACAGAGGACCAUAAUGGUGGUUAUGAAAGAUACCGAUCCAGCCAAUUUGGAGUCCACAAAUGGAAGGGGAUCAUAAGUUUUAAUCGACUAGACACAUAACGCGGGCGAUAAAAUGAAAGCUGUUAAAAGAAAUCAGAUCAUAUUGCAGCCAGUAAAAUGGCUUUUCAAUCAAGCUGUGCGGCUAUUCUGCUUUUCCGACUUGUGUGUUUGGUUGGAUUGUUGUAAGAUGUGUGCAGGAUAUGAUGCUGUCACAUGACACAAAUUAUAUGAUCAAUUGCAGCAAGUUACCUGACAAAAACAUACGUUUGUCG
ensembl:lncRNA